rnacentral:rRNA from 1 species
AAAGGAAUAGACGGGGGCCCGCACAAGCAGUGGAUUAUGUGGUUUAAUUCGAAGCAACGCGAAGAACCUUACCAGGGUUUGACAUGGGAAUGACCGGCCUGGAGAUAGGCUUUUCUUCGGACAUUCCACACAGGUGGUGCAUGGUUGUCGUCAGCUCGUGUCGUGAGAUGUUGGGUUAAGUCCCGCAACGAGCGCAACCCCUAUUGUUAGUUGCUACGCGAGAGCACUCUAGCGAGACUGCCGUUGACAAAACGGAGGAAGGUGGGGACGACGUCAAAUCAUCAUGCCCCUUAUGUCCUGGGCUACACACGUAAUACAAUGGCGCAAACAGAGGGAAGCGAAACUGCGAAGUGGAGCAAAUCCCCAAACAGCGUCCCAGUUCGGAUCGCAGGCUGCAACCCGCCUGCGUGAAGUCGGAAUUGCUAGUAAUCGCGGAUCAGCAAGCCGCGGUGAAUACGUUCCCGGGCCUUGUACACACCGCCCGU